GACGAACGCUGGCGGCGUGCUUAACACAUGCAAGUCGAACGAUGAAGCUGGAGCUUGCUCCGGUGGAUUAGUGGCGAACGGGUGAGUAACACGUGAGCAAUCUGCCCUUGACUCUGGGAUAACUGCGGGAAACUGUAGCUAAUACCGGAUACGACACCUUGGGGCAUCCCAGGGUGUGGAAAGAGUUUCGGUCAAGGAUGAGCUCGCGGCCUAUCAGCUAGUUGGUGAGGUAAUGGCUCACCAAGGCGACGACGGGUAGCCGGCCUGAGAGGGUGAUCGGCCACACUGGAACUGAGACACGGUCCAGACUCCUACGGGAGGCAGCAGUGGGGAAUAUUGCACAAUGGGCGAAAGCCUGAUGCAGCAACGCCGCGUGAGGGAUGAGGGCCUUCGGGUUGUAAACCUCUUUUAGCAGGGAAGAAGCGAAAGUGACGGUACCUGCAGAAAAAGCACCGGCUAACUACGUGCCAGCCGCCGCCGUAA
rnacentral:rRNA from 1 species